rnacentral:rRNA from 1 species
AGAGUUUGAUCAUGGCUCAGGAUGAACGCUAGCGGCAGGCCUAAUACAUGCAAGUCGAACGAUGUAGCAAUACAUAGUGGCGCACGGGUGCGUAACGCGUAUGCAACCUACCUUUCAGUGGGGCAUAACCUUGAGAAAUCAGGGCUAAUUCCGCAUAUACUCUUCUUGUGGCCUCAUGUGGAAGAGGAAACAUUAAUGGCUGAAAGAUGGGCAUGCGUCUGAUUAGUUAGUUGGCAGUGUAACAGACUACUAAGACCAUGAUCAGUAGGGGUUCUGAGAGGAAGGUCCCCCACACUGGCACUGAGAUACGGGCCAGACUCCUACGGGAGGCAGCAGUAGGGAAUCUUGGGCAAUGGAAGCAAUUCUGACCCAGCCAUGCCGCGUGCAGGAAGAAGGUGCUCUGAACUGUAAACUGCUUUUGAUGGGGAGCAACCAGCUCAUGCGUGAGUAAUUGAGCGUACCUGUCGAAUAAGCACCGGCUAACUCCGUGCCAGCCGCCGCGGUAAUUC